GACCAUAGCGAGCCGGCCCCACCCCUUCCCAUCCCGAACAGGACCGUGAAACAGCUCCGCGCCCAUGAUAGUGCGCACUCCGCGUGCGAAAGUAGGUCAUCGUCAGAC
rnacentral:rRNA from 1 species